rnacentral:rRNA from 1 species
UACAGAGGGUGCGAGCGUUGUCCGGAAUCACUGGGCGUAAAGGGCGCGUAGGCGGCUUGAUAAGGUUGCGGUGAAAGCCCGGGGCUCAACCCCGGGUCGGCCGUGGCAAUUGCCGAGCUGGAGCACUGUAGAGGCAGGUGGAAUUCCGGGUGUAGCGGUGGAAUGCGUAGAGAUCCGGAAGAACACCGGUGGCGAAGGCGGCCUGCUGGGCAGUGGCUGACGCUGAGGCGCGACAGCGUGGGGAGCAAACAGG